UUUCGAAUCAUUCACAAUGGGCGAAAGCCUGAUGGUGCGACGCCGCGUGAGGGAUGAAGGUCUUCGGAUUGUAAACCUCUGCCACUGGGGAGAAAACGCUUUGAGUUAAUAGUUCAAAGCCUGAUUUAACCCGGAGAGGAAGCAGUGGCUAACUCUGUGCCAGCAGCCGCGGUAAUACAGAGACUGCAAGCGUUAUUCGGAUUCACUGGGCGUAAAGGGUGCGCAGGCGGCCGUGUGUGUAAGGUGUGAAAUCCCGGGGCUUAACCCCGGAACUGCGCCUUAAACUACAUGGCUAGAGUAUUGGAGAGGGUAGGGGAAUUCACGGUGUAGCAGUGAAAUGCGUAGAUAUCGUGAGGAACACCCGAGGCGAAGGCGACUACCUGGACAAUUACUGACGCUCAGGCACGAAAGCGUGGGGA
rnacentral:rRNA from 1 species